rnacentral:lncRNA from 1 species
AUGCGGUGGUCUUUGUCCGCCGGUGUGGAGGUGGAACGGUCCGGGCAGCUGCACUGGUGUCAGGGCUCGGCCAGCUGUGCUCGCGCCCCCGCCGGAGGCCGAUGGAGCAGGUGGGACCGGCCGGGCUCGCAGGGGCGGGACUUUCCGGCGCCGGCACCGCCUCUUGCCGAGGUGAUCUGGUCUCCUCCGGGAGGGCGGUUUCUUGCCCCGCGGGUCCCAGACGGGGAUUCUGGGAGCCUGUCUCUUGCGGCUCGUGGCGCGCGGGGAGGUUUCGGCGUACCUGCGGAGAUCGUACCUGCGGAGGACGUACGUACCUGUGCGUGAGGAGGAGAAAGGGCAAGAUCCAUCCUGAGUGACCCGCGUGCCAGCCUCUCCGCGUAAGGUGAGGCUGGGGGAAACCCUGUGCUCCGGCCUGACCCAGAGGAGGCAUCGAUCAGCGUCUGCCCCGGUACUCUGGAGACCUGGGCCUUGGGGGAACCGAAGCGACGAGACUUCCCAGGCACUGCCCUGGCAAAGUCCCCUGCUCACGGGGGGUCGAGGGUGAGGGAGCAGACAAGCCCAUCGCAGAGCAAAGGUGGCCGCGUUGGGAAGGAGGCUGGGGUUGGUUCGUGUUGACUUCCUGAAGAAGUGGAAUCUUGAAUAGCACUGAGAAUGAGGGAAGAACCUGGAUUUGGGGCAAAAGUGAAAAGAGGGGUGGCCUAUUUGACAGUUUGUGGGGGAUACCAGAAGGGGUUUGUGGAAGAAAAGAGAGUUGGACCAGAGCUGGGAGUUUUCCGAUGGGAAACUGCUGGAUGGAAUUAGACUAGAGGGCAGAAAUGAGCAAGAAGCCCUGCUCAUCCUAAGAGUAUAUAUGGGAUAAAUCAGUCCAGCAGUCCUUUCAGGAUGAAUUGAGCAGUUGCUGUGGUGGGUUAAAUGGACUCGUCCAAACGAGGGGAUACUUCUUACCAUCAAAUGUUAAAAUCCGAGACAUAAUCCAGAAGAAAGCAAUAUUCAAAAUAUAGAGCACCAUGCGGUG